rnacentral:rRNA from 1 species
CCCUUAGAUGUUCUGGGCUGCACGCGCGCUACACUGAUACUUUCAGCGAGUCCACCACCUUGCCUGGGAGGGUGGGGUAACCUCUGGAAAGUGCAUCGUGAUGGGGAUCGAUUAUUGUAAUUAUUAAUCUUCAACGAGGAAUGCCUAGUAAGCGCAAGUCAUCAGCUUGCGUUGAUUACGUCCCUGCCCUUUGUACACACCGCCCGUCGCUCCUACCGAUUGAAUGGUCCGGUGAAGCGUUCGGACCGUGGCCUUUGGACGGUUCGCCGUCUGUUGGCUGCGGGAAGUUCGUUAAACCUUAUCAUUUAGAGGAAGGAGAAGUCGUAACA